GCACAAGAGAAAAUUAUACCGUUUUAUUGGUAUAGCAGAACUGAAUUUGUUCCUAUGGAGGCAGGCGAGGGAGGAGAUGAGCUCAUCCACCGCAAUCUGCACCGCACCCGGCAAGACAUGUUGCACCGUAAGUAUCAGUAUGCGCAGCGGAGGCUUUAUCCUUGGAUGCACCCUGAGCACAAGAGAAAAUGAUAGCCGUUAAGAUGGAUAGAGUGAUAAGUGCAGCAUUGCAGCCCACCAUAAGAGCAAAGCUUCACUGACGCCGUUUCUUCCAUCCCAUCUUAUCGCCUCUUUCCAUUGCCUCGCCAUAUCCUUUCUCUCACAAUAGAAGCCGAUACUUGUUUUGAGUCUUGAGAGCCAGCACUGCAACCAUUAAAGGAUUGUUUGAUUUGUAUCGACUUUAUAUGAAGGUUAU
rnacentral:misc_RNA from 1 species